GACGAACGCUGGCGGCGUGCUUAACACAUGCAAGUCGAACGGAAAGGCCUUUUCGGAGGUACUCGAGUGGCGAACGGGUGAGUAACACGUGGGUGAUCUGCCCUGCACUCUGGGAUAAGCCUGGGAAACUGGGUCUAAUACCGGAUAGGACCGCACUUUAGUGUGUGUGGUGGAAAGUUUUUUCGGUGUAGGAUGAGCCCGCGGCCUAUCAGCUUGUUGGUGGGGUAAUGGCCUACCAAGGCGGCGACGGGUAGCCGGACUGAGAGGUUGGUCGGCCACAUUGGGACUGAGGUACGGCCCAGACUCCGACGGGAGGCAGCAGGGGGGAAUAUUGCACAAGGGGCGCAAGCCGGAUGCAGCGACGCCGCGUGGGGGAGGACGGCCUUAGGGUUGUAAACUCCUUUCGCCAGGGACGAAGCGUUUUGUGACGGUACCUGGAGAAGAAGCACCGGCUAACUACGUG
rnacentral:rRNA from 1 species